UCGGACUUAAAAUCCGUUGGCUUUUUAGACCGUGAGGGUUCAAGUCCCUCUACCCCCA
rnacentral:tRNA from 1 species